GCCUCAGGCUAAGGAUGUGACACCGUCUUACAGCGGUGAGAGAGAAGCCAAGAGAAUCAUGGCAGCACUGGUCCUGCCUUUGACGGGCUGCUGCAAUCACCCCGGGAAGCACCUGCCUCCAGAAUUUUCGUGAAGCACUGGCUGCGCCUGCCCCAGUUGGAAGGCCGUUUUCCCAGCUCACCACCAGCCUUGUCUCUUGGGCAAACAACCUUGGCCUCCCUAGGCGUCCAUUUACUCUUUGGCCAGAUGGCGGUAACAGCCGAACCUAUCUCACUGGGCAGACUGGCACAUAGAUUCAUGUGAUUUGGAAAACAGGAAGUGGAAUUUUGGCCUGAAUUACAGAAUCAACUUGGUUAACGGCCUAUUGGGCCUGGUUCAGAAGGUGCAAAGGUUGACGCUGGAGGCAGGCUGGUGUCUCCCGCCCCCUGCCCACCCACCUGGAGAAGCCACA